UUCCUGGCAUGGUUUCCUUCGUGACC
rnacentral:piRNA from 1 species